rnacentral:rRNA from 1 species
AGUGAACGCUGGCGGUAGGCCUAACACAUGCAAGUCGAACGGCAGCACAGUAAGAGCUUGCUCUUACGGGUGGCGAGUGGCGGACGGGUGAGGAAUACAUCGGAAUCUACUUUUUCGUGGGGGAUAACGUAGGGAAACUUACGCUAAUACCGCAUACGACCUACGGGUGAAAGCAGGGGAUCUUCGGACCUUGCGCGAUUGAAUGAGCCGAUGUCGGAUUAGCUAGUUGGCGGGGUAAAGGCCCACCAAGGCGACGAUCCGUAGCUGGUCUGAGAGGAUGAUCAGCCACACUGGAACUGAGACACGGUCCAGACUCCUACGGGAGGCAGCAGUGGGGACUAUUGGACAAUGGGCGCAAGCCUGAUCCAGCCAUACCGCGUGAGUGAAGAAGGCCUUCGGGUUGUAAAGCCCUUUUGUUGGGAAAGAAAAGCAGCAGGUUAAUACCCCGCUGUUCUGACGGUACCCAAAGAAUAAGCACCGGCUAACUUCGUG